rnacentral:rRNA from 1 species
AUUGAACGCUGGCGGCAUGCCUUACACAUGCAAGUCGAACGGUAACAGGUCUUCGGAUGCUGACGAGUGGCGAACGGGUGAGUAAUACAUCGGAACGUGCCCGAUCGUGGGGGAUAACGAAGCGAAAGCUUUGCUAAUACCGCAUAAGAUCUAAGGAUGAAAGCAGGGGAUCGCAAGGCCUUGCGCGAGUGGAGCGGCCGAUGGCAGAUUAGGGAGUUGGUGGGAUAAAAGCUUACCAAGCCGACGAUCUGUAGCUGGUCUGAGAGGACGACCAGCCACACUGGGACUGAGACACGGCCCAGACUCCUACGGGAGGCAGCAGUGGGGAAUUUUGGACAAUGGGCGCAAGCCUGAUCCAGCCAUGCCGCGUGCAGGAUGAAGGCCUUCGGGUUGUAAACUGCUUUUGUACGGAACGAAAAGAUUCUGGUUAAUACCUGGGGUCCAUGACGGUACCGUAAGAAUAAGCACCGGCUAACUACGUGCCAGCAGCCGCCGUAAUAC